rnacentral:lncRNA from 1 species
AUUUAUUAAAUAUUUAUUAUUGCAUGUGUUUUCUUAUCCAUGAUGCACAUUUACCAAGCUUACCAGUCACUGGAUGAUCACAUCCUACCUCAUAGGGCUGUUAUAAGGAAGAGGCCUAGAAAAACCCUAACACACAAUAUAAAUGUGAGCUAUUUGUAGUAUCGUUAUCAGUCCUGAGCAGCAUCUCACAUAUAGCCUGAUUGGGUAUGAACAGGAUCCUUCAGGAGACAUCCGGGCUUCCAAUGGGCCUGGUUCAUUGUUGCUGAUUGGCCUGGAAUGUCUCAGUUAAACAAAUGGGUAUUCUAUAGAAAAUGGCAGCCAGCAUACACAGUCAGGAAUAGGAGAAGGGAACGGGGGAACAUCUGCUCCUUCCCUCAAUGCUCCAUCCGGCUUCUCACCAACUCCAUGGUUUUAAUACCACAAUCAUUUGGUAGUGUUUGCCACCUGCUGAAAAAUCUCAAAGUUGUUUAUUAUCCUCUCCUCCACCAUUCUCCAAAUGACAAAAUGAAAUCUUUCCUCCAAAUGUCACCAAGCCCAUCAUUGGUCCUCAAAUAA